AGAGUUUGAUCCUGGCUCAGGAUGAACGCUGGCGGCGUGCCUAACACAUGCAAGUCGAACGAAGCGCCUGUUGGAAGCUCUUCGGAGCGGAAGAGAGGGGACUGAGUGGCGGACGGGUGAGUAACGCGUGGGCAACCUGCCUCAUACAGGGGGAUAACAGUUAGAAAUGACUGCUAAUACCGCAUAAGCGCACGAAGACGCAUGUUUUUGUGUGAAAAGCCGAGACGGUAUGAGAUGGACCCGCGUCUGAUUAGCUUGUUGGUGGGGUAAUAGCCUACCAAGGCGACGAUCAGUAGCCGACCUGAGAGGGUGACCGGCCACAUUGGGACUGAGACACGGCCCAAACUCCUACGGGAGGCAGCAGUGGGGAAUAUUGCACAAUGGGGGAAACCCUGAUGCAGCGACGCCGCGUGAGUGAAGAAGUAUUUCGGUAUGUAAAGCUCUAUCAGCAGGGAAGAGAAUGACGGUACCUGAAUAAGAAGCCCCGGCUAACUACGUGCCAGCAGCCGCGGUAAUACGUAGGGGGCAAGCGUUAUCCGGAUUUACUGGGUGUAAAGGGAGCGUAGACGGUAUGGCAAGUCUGAAGUGAAAAUCCGAGGCUCAACCGCGGAAGUGCUUUGGAAACUGUUAAACUGGAGUGCCGGAGGGGUAAGUGGAAUUCCUGGUGUAGCGGUGAAAUGCGUAGAUAUCAGGAGGAACACCAGUGGCGAAGGCGGCUUACUGGACGGUAACUGACGUUGAGACUCGAAAGCGUGGGGAGCAAACAGGAUUAGAUACCCUGUAGUCCACGCUGUAACGAU
rnacentral:rRNA from 1 species